AGCCCCAAAAACUGGUCAGACCAAAUGUGCUACCAAAGCUGCUUAUUGAGUGAGCCUGCAUAUCCAGUACAUGAGUGUGAGCCUUAGAACAGGCAAUAGGCUACGUCCUGUGGCUACCCACAACCUAGGGUUCAUCCUGGGAACUGCCGAGGCUAUACCUCAAUACAAUCCAUUAGGAGGGAGCCUCAGGAAGUCUGGAGCCCCUGAUGCGUAUUUUAUCCCAGUGGUUCUCAACUGGGGCAAUUGUGCCUCCACGCCCCCCAAACCUUGGCAAUGUCUUGGUGACAUUUUGAUUGCCAUAACUGGAGAAGGGAGAAAGUGUUACUGGCAUUUAGUACAUAGAGGAAAGGAUACUACUAUAGUGUACAACAAUAAACAGGACAGUUCCCACUUGAGAGAUCCUGAUCUAGUCUGUAGACUCUACCCUCCCUCCCACAGGAAGAACCCCACCAAGUGUUCAGUGACGACCAUCAAAGCACUCAGCAGUAGGGCAGGCCCUUUGUGCAGUGAGAACCUGAACCACCCCUCAGAGCAGUAGAGAGAAAGAAACCUAAACACAGGAAGCUGAGAUCCAGAGGUAGCUGUGGCAGGUUGAAAAAGGCAUGUUUAAAUAUCCUAAGGCUGUGAAUGGGAAACAAUAAGAAACUUACACCCAUGACCUAAACAGUUUAAAAUGGCAGUAUUAAUGAGGCUUUGCAGUAAGACUGCCAACCAGAGCUGCAACUUUACAUUGAGAAAUACCGUACUGAGCAGAAGGCGGCACUCACAGCCCUACAGAGCCAAAUUGGCAUUCAGGAAGCUCAAGAGGGGUAAGCAAGGGGCCAAGAGAGCUGGAGGAGGCUGAGGAGGGAGUGGGCACACCUCUAAUGAGGGUGAGAUGACCCGACUCCCUCAGCAGCCACAUGCACAUUCCACUCCCAAGAGGGUAAAACACCAACCUGGCAAAGAUGCACUCAUCUCAAUGUCUCAGCACAACCCCUUGCCCCUGGGAAAGCAGUCGCGUCACUCCAGCAGCCACAGAGCUGAAGCCCAAGGACACAGUGCCAGGCGCAAGCACUUGCUUUCUUUUUCAGUUCUGCCUGGACUCCUGGCUCAACACAUGCAAGUUGGGGCUGCAACUCUGCUCGACAUUGCUGUUUCCAAAUGCCAGCCUUUGACAUUUCACUUCCCAUAAGAUUACACCCAAUAAUUUCUGAUUUACAUUCCUAUGGAUUUUUUUUCUUUUUUCUUUUUUAACUAAUGAAGCAAAUUCAACUCAGAGCAGGGAUUUGAAAAGCACAGCUAGGAGCUUUUUGUUUGCCACGAAGAAUGCCCUGAUUAUCCCACAAUAAAACAAGCCACUGCAGAAUGAGAAUAUAUCCAGCCAGGAAAUGGGACGUGAGGAAAAGCAUCUGGGCACAUACAGCCUGGCCUGGAACAGCUGCUCCCAUGGGGACUCGCCUCUCUUGGAAAAACCGCCCUCCCCGUCCCCCAACAGCAGGUAAAAGAUUCAACGCAGCAGCCUUCAUGAGCCAGAAGGAAAAACCAGUCAUUUUGAAAUCAACAUCCUAGGAAGGAUAGAAAGAAUUCUGGAGUUUGGAAAUGGCAACAACAGAUGAUCUCACACACACACACACACACACACACACACACACACACACCCCUACUUCUCCAUCACAUGCUUUAUGUGAAAUGGCAGCCUCCGCCAGCAACUCACGGCAGCUUUGAUGACUUAAGGCAAAUGCAGUGCUCUUGAGAUCACACUGCUCUUAUCCACUUCAUCAACAAAGGUUCACUGAACACCUACUGUGUGCCAUACAUUUCUCCCGGGCACUGGAGAGACAGCAAAGAGCAAAACUGAGCCCAUGUCCUCAAGAAGCCCACAUUUUAGUGGAGUAGAAAGACCCCCCCCCCCCAAAAAAAAAUAGAAACCAGAUAAAAGUUACAGUGUGUCAUAUGGUGAUAAUCACUGUGAGAAAAAUACAGCAGGGAAGGGAGAGGGGAGUAUCUGGAUGGGGUUGGUGUAAAUGUACGCAAACAGAGAAGCCCUCACUGGGAAGGUGACAUCUGAGGAUGUGGGGAAAGCCCUCAGGACACCUGGGGAGAGCUUUCUCCACAGAGGACUAGCCAGUGCCAAGGUCCCAAGGCUGCAGCAGCUCUAGACUCACAGCAGGCCUAUCCCUCCAGACAAACCCCUGGGUGCCAGGCAGGGACCUCAGCACCCCUGAAACACCCCUUCUGGCACCUCUACCCACAGGAGUGGGAGCCUGAGAAACAGGGCUGCCCAUGAGGACCCAGGCACCUCCUGUCUGAUGACAGCCUAACCAAGGCUGUACUGUCCAGCAUCAGUCCAAGGCUGAGAUGCUAGUCACUAGACCACCACCGCUGCAAAAGCACCCAGCAGUGUCCCCUGCACUCCACACUAUGGGCACGAUGACACAGGAACAAGUCACGAGCAGCCUUCCUCCUUUGUGGGAUUCCUUCCUGCCUCCGCCACAUGAGCCAGCCAAGCACCUCAGCGCAAGACCAGUCUCAGGGACUCUCCCAGAUGGAGAUGUUUACAGGGUAGACUCAGUGCUUCCUGCUCUCUCUUCCCACAGGCAUAACUCACUAGCAUGGGUGUUAUUCUAAAAGGCUAAUUUUAAAAAACAUCUUGAGAAGGAAUUGAGCUGCACAAACAGCAUCUGACACCUCCAGGAUCUGGAAUACACUUGCUGACCAGUGGUCAUGUGUGGC